GUUACUCAGCUGAGUUUUAACACAACCAAAUGCUCUCCUGCUGACUGACUGAGGGACCAGAGAUUAAUUUGAGCCUGCUGGCAGAUGAACCUGAAGCAGUCGUGCUCUCAGAAAUCAGCUAUUGCUUGUCAGCAUUGCCAGAGCUGUGCAGGGACAGCUCAUUUUGCCUCUGAAUAUAACAAAGAAAUCAAUCCAGCAGGCAGAGACCUAAAGGGACUUGGAAAUGAAGACCAAGAGCUGCAGAAGGCAGCUUCUUGACAAGGCAGUGAGCAGGUUUGAACCAUGGUUUGAAUGCAAGAGGCAUUUGCAUCAACCUUUAAAUACUGGAGUCUUGGAAACCACCUCACCCAGAGCCUGCUGAAGUUUUCCACCAAGAAGUUUCCUGGUAUUAUUUCCCACACACACCGAGCAUGACCCAAAAUAUCCUUUAUUGGAAGCACCCUGCUGCAGUCCCAGACUGUGACAGGACUUUCUUCACCCACCUGUGACCCAGUGGGAAAAAUCUGAUUCUGCUGCAAUGUGCCCACAAUUUGCUCUCCUCUUCACCAGAGCAAUGAAAAAGACACCUGACUUCGAGGAUGAGAGCACACCCACCCUAUUUUAAAGUGAGUUUUAAGUACCACAGGCUGAAGUGGAACUUACACAGUGCUGAAAGGCAUGAGUGAGACAAACCACAGCCUGCGGGAGGAGUUGUGUUCCCUUCUGUGUGACCUCACAAACCUGCACCCGUUAGUGAUGGAGAGCCAAAUCAGGCUGUACAACCCUGUGGAAGAACAGAAGCAAGAAAGAACCACACAGAAAUGCCUUUCUGACUCUGUAAAUAGCACAGAAAUGCCUUUCUGACUCUAUGGAUGGAGCCUUUUCUAUGAAGAUGAGGCCUGUGCACAGUGAGCCCAUCAAUGCCACCACACAGGUCUGAGGAGCAGACACACACCAGUAAUUGAUGCUGAAUAAGUUAUAUCAAGAUUGUCUUGCUGUAAUAGUUCCAAUUAUUUACUUGAGCUUCCCAAACCAUCUAAAUCUUUUAUAAAGAGCAAUGGAAGAGGAGAAUUAAGAACUUGUGCAAAAUGGACAUUCAAUCUUCAUCUCAGUAAAAAUUAAAAUUUCUCUUCAAACAUUCCAAA